UAUGCAGUAUUAUUAUAAGGAAUAAUUGUCUAUAUACCCCUUCAUUAUUCUAAAAUAUUUCUGCGGUUAUCAUCCGUUAAGUUAACUUAGAUUAAACGUGAAUUAAAUAUCUGCCAGAGUUAAAAAAUAUUAAUGAUGGUAGAAGGAUAUAUUUGAAAAGACCAAAAAUCAAAAUAUUUUUAUGUUCCAACUUAAGAGCAAAUAAAAAAUAUUGGUUAUGACAUAAUGGUAUAUUGAAAGAGCAAAAUAAUAAUUUCAUAAAUAUAACAUUUGUUGCUAACAGUUUAUUAACAGAAUUUAACUCUAUGGAUAUAUUUGAAAUAGAUUGGAACGUAAUAAAAGUAUUUUCAAUAUUAGUUUUUUUAAGAAAGGUAAAUUAAAAAGUCAAAAAUUUUUCUGGUAUAUAACCAAUUGCCCCUAUUAUUAAUUAGGGAUAAUUGCCUAUAUAUCCUUCAUACGUUUGAAAAUAUCCGAUUUACCCAUACUCUUUUUUUUUUUUUCUUUCUAAAAUACCCCUCAUAUGUUCCACCGUUAUUGCAAAAUACCCCGCAGUUAUCUCCUAUUAAGUUAACCUGGGUUAAACGUGAGUUAAAUAUCUACCACAGUUAAAAAAAAAUAAAAUGCCAAUUUUGUCCUUAACUUAAGGGCAAAUAAGAAAUGUUGGUGAUUGUAGAGGGGUAUAUUGGAAAAGGCCAAAAGUCAAAAUACUUUUUGUGCCUCUGACUUUAAGGGCAAAUAAGAAAGACGGUGAUGGUAGAAGGGUAUAUUUAAAAGGGCAAAAUAGUAAUUUUACAGAGAUAACAAAGUUACUUAACAGAUUUUAACUCUAAGAAUAUAUUAGAAAUAUGUUGGAACGUAGGAGGAGUAUUUUCAAUAUUAGCGUUCUAAGAGAGGUAAAUUGGAAAGUCGGAAAUUUUUCAGGAGUAUAUAAGCAAUUGCCCCUUAAUUAGCUUUUAAUUAUUACUAUUAAUACUUACAUUCAAAAUAGUGACUCGAUUUAUAUAUUUCAGUAAAUCUGACAGUAAAAUCUUAUUAUUUCAAAUAUAUAUUCUAUGGACAAUAAUAAAUU
rnacentral:lncRNA from 1 species